rnacentral:rRNA from 1 species
GACGAACGCUGGCGGCGUGCCUAACACAUGCAAGUCGAACGGAAAGGCCCUGCUUUUGUGGGGUGCUCGAGUGGCGAACGGGUGAGUAACACGUGAGUAACCUGCCUUUGACUUUGGGAUAACUUCAGGAAACUGGGGCUAAUACCGGAUAGGAGCUCCUGCUGCAUGGUGGGGGUUGGAAAGUUUCGGCGGUUGGGGAUGGACUCGCGGCUUAUCAGCUUGUUGGUGGGGUAGUGGCUUACCAAGGCUUUGACGGGUAGCCGGCCUGAGAGGGUGACCGGCCACAUUGGGACUGAGAUACGGCCCAGACUCCUACGGGAGGCAGCAGUGGGGAAUAUUGCACGAUGGGCGGAAGCCUGAUGCAGCAACGCCGCGUGCGGGAUGACGGCCUUCGGGUUGUAAACCGCUUUCGCCUGUGACGAAGCGUGAGUGACGGUAAUGGGUAAAGAAGCACCGGCUAACUACGUG